rnacentral:rRNA from 1 species
AGUGAACGCUGGCGGUAGGCCUAACACAUGCCAGUCGAACGGCAGCACAGUAAGAGCUUGCUCUUACGGGUGGCGAGUGGCGGACGAGUGAGGAAUACAUCGGAAUCUACUUUUUCGUGGGGGGUAACGUAGGGAAACUUACGCUAAUACCGCAUACGACCUACGGGUGAAAGCAGGGGAUCUUCGGACCUUGCGCGAUUGAAUGAGCCGAUGUCGGAUUAGCUAGUUGGCGGGGUAAAGGCCCACCAAGGCGACGAUCCGUAGCUGGUCUGAGAGGAUGAACAGACACACUGGAACUGAGACACGGUCCAGACUCCGACGGGAGGCAGCAGUGGGGAAGAUGGGAGAAUGGGCGCAAGCCUGAUCCAGCCAUAACGCGUGGGUGAAGAAGGCCUUCGGGUUGUAAAGCCCUUUUGUUGGGAAAGAAAAGCAGCAGGUUAAUACCCCGCUGUUCUGACGGUACCCAAAGAAUAAGCACCGGCUAACUUCGUG